AAAAAGUUAACACUUAAAGAUACUCAUGCCCCAACUCUUAGAUCACAUCCACUGGCAUCCAAUUGUCAGUUGUGUAUACAAUAACUGCAAAUACCUAUGGCUUGCAUUUUGAUCCAUUUUUUUGUAUUCUAUUCAUAUGGUGGAUACUCGACUAAUUUAAACCAAAACUCCAAAUGGGAAACUUCUUUAGCAGUGCAAAUAAAUCAUUCAUUACAUGCCCAAAACAGUAUAUUCAAACCUGCUCUAGAAGCUAGCUGAACACACUUUGACAGAAGCAUAAUUUUCUCAACACCAGUACUGCUCCUGAAGAACAAACCAAAGUGAUGGAAAGAUAGACCAUCCAACAAAACAGAAUGUGGAAGCUAAGGCGCCUCUGGUUGCCCACAGGCAAAAGGAAAAAAGUUUGACCACUUGGCUUGUACACUAACAAAAUAGUACACAAUAACCUAUCCAGAUCCCAGGCAGCCUGAGCAUAAAUUACGGGCCGUGAUUUUUACUAUGAUUAUACAACUACGACCUAUACAUACCACAAAGAUUCGACUAAAAACUUCAUUAAAUAGCCACAUCAACGAGCACUGCCGGACUACAACACCAAUAUACUACAGCAAAUGAACAAGCUUCGUCCAUGUUGUCUCUGAGAAAUCAAACCAACCUCAAGUUCCCGACAACGCAAAAAAUGCUUUCGCAGCACCCAUUCAUAAAACCAAAAGAAUAAAAAAUAUUGUUUUUGAUAAACCAUUCGAAAACAACUUUCCUCUUCGAGAUGAACCAACAUGAAAGCACCUUCCCUUUCGUCUCACCAAUAGAUAAAACAAAAACAAUCUCGACACCACUUCACCAUCAUCAAUCCAAAUGUAGCUUUUGCAAAUAAGCAUCUUUCAGCUUCCUUCAUGCAGAGAAAGACCUGGUCUUGCCUUUGAAACUCAGCGAGAACAGCAAGAAGAUCAGACUUAAGCAAGCGAGAAACAUUUGAU